AACGAACGCUGGCGGCAGGCCUAACACAUGCAAGUCGAACGAAGGCCCGGAGCUUGCUCCGGUGUCCUUAGUGGCAGACGGGAUAGUAACGCGUGGGAAUUUGCCCAGUACUACGGAAUAACAGCGGGAAACUGCUGCUAGUACCGUAUACGCCCUCCGGGGGAAAGAUUUAUCGCUAUUGGAUAAGCCCGCGUCGAAUUAGCUUGUUGGUGAGGUAAUGGCUCACCAAGGCGACGAUUCGUAGCUGGUCUGAGAGGACGAUCAGCAUCACUGGGACUGACACACGGCCCAGACUCCUACGGGAGGCAGCACUGGGGAAUAUUGGACAAUGGGCGCAAGCCUGAUCCAGCCAUGCCGCGUGAGUGAAGAAAGCCUUACGGUUGUAAAGCUCUUUCACCAGGGAAGAUGAUGACGGUACCUGCAGAAGAAGCCCCGGCCAACUCCGUGCCAGCAGCCGCGGUAAUACGGAGGGGGCAAGCGUUGUUCGGAAUUACUGGGCGUAAAGCGCGCGUAGGCGGUUAGUUUAGUCACGCGUGAAAUCCCGGGGCUCAACCCCGGAACUGCGCUUGGUACUGGCUAACUAGAGGUCUGGAGAGGGUA
rnacentral:rRNA from 1 species